rnacentral:lncRNA from 1 species
AUGCAAAUAUGCACCCUCCCGGAUAGCCCGCAGCCAAUAGGCAGAAAACUGCUGCAAAGUUUCUUAAGUGGUGGCAGCCUCGAGAAAUCUGCCCUCACCAGCCGCGACUGCGUCUAUAGCUUCUUUCUGUGGCUGCCCCUUUCCCCAGUCACAUGGACCGAUGGCCGAGCACCUGUUUGCAAUAUCAACCCCCCACCUCCCCCCGCCCCCUCCGUCCCCUCCCACCCCCCUUCUUUCCCUGCACCAUCCCCAGAGGGGAUGGAAAAUGCUGGCAAGUUCUGCAAACCCCAUUUUGCUCGGAGAUCCUGUGGCAUUAUGGGACUCAAUACAAUCAAUAUGAUGUCAUCCAUAAACAAUAGCACCUGGAUCAUCCCUCCUCCCAUCACUUCUUCCACUUGGACUUUGCAUAGGACUUCUUCCAUGAUGAAGAUGAAUAUCUGCUGCUACCCAUCUCAGAGAAAUACUGUGACAAGACCUAUUCUGAAAGAAAGGAAAUGUAUUCUAGUAUUUAUAGAGGAAACCAGGAAGGCUCUUGGCCACUGUUUCCUGGUUAGGCUGCUGACUCAUUCUGUAACCCUUAGACAAUUCCCUUAGCCUUGUACCUCAGUUUCCCUAUAUUUUAAGUAGAGGAUCAUAUUUUUCUGCUGUUGUAUUGCAACAUAUAAUUAAUGUUUACUUGGUGCUUUGAAACAAUUGGGAUCAAAGGAUCACUAUUACUGUAAAAUAUCAUUUUGAGAAAGAUUCUGUCUCUACAUUGACAACUCAAUGAAUACACAUACUGUUUUUUAAUGAACUUGUGAUUUGGGCUUUCUGGCUAUUAUUUCUGCCAUCAUUUCUACUGUCUGAAAUAUCGGAAAAUAAUAGCCUUCCUUUAUCCCUUAACUCUAUCUACUAUCUCCUCUAUUCUCCCCUUCAGUUAGGUCAAGUUAUGUCACUUUCAAGAAAUCUACUAAUGGUUAUUUUUGUUCCUCUUGAUCAGUUUUGAACUUUUAACAAGUACAGUUUGUGAAUGUAGAAUAUUCUGGAAUUGGAGUCAUAAAAUUUGGUUUGAGUUCAGCUGGAGCAUUAACUAACAAGAUGACUUUGAUCAAGUCACUUAAAUCUCUUCAAGUCUCA